rnacentral:rRNA from 1 species
ACAGGGGUGCCAACAGAGGGUGUACAGCCCCGUGCACCCUCCUCAACGCCCUCAUCCCAGAUCUCCAAGAGUCGAGUUGUUUGGGAAUGCAGCUCUAAGUGGGUGGUAAAUUCCAUCUAAAGCUAAAUACCGGCGAGAGACCGAUAGCGAACAAGUACAGUGAUGGAAAGAUGAAAAGCACUUUGAAAAGAGAGUGAAAAAGUACGUGAAAUUGUUGAAAGGGAAGGGCUUGCAAGCAGACACUUAACUGGGCCAGCAUCGGGGCGGCGGGAAACAAAACCACCGGGGAAUGUACCUUUCGAGGAUUAUAACCCCGGUC